rnacentral:rRNA from 1 species
UACAGAGGGUGCAAGCGUUGUUCGGAAUUAUUGGGCGUAAAGGGCGCGUAGGCGGUUCGGCAAGUCUCUAGUGAAAUCUCUGGGCUCAACUCAGAGUCUGCUGGGGAAACUGCCGGGCUGGAGUGUGGGAGAGGAGAGUGGAAUUCCCGGUGUAGCGGUGAAAUGCGUAGAUAUCGGGAGGAACGCCUGUGGCGAAAGCGGCUCUCUGGACCACAACUGACGCUGAGGCGCGAAAGCUAGGGGAGCAAACAGG